AUGAACGCUGGCGGCGUGCCUAAUACAUGCCAGUCGCGCGAACAGACGAGGAGCUUGCUCCUCUGACGUUAGCGGCGGACGGGUGAGUAACACGUGGAUAACCUACCUAUAAGACUGGGAUAACUUCGGGAAACCGGAGCUAAUACCGGAUAAUAUAUUGAACCGCAUGGUUCAAUAGUGAAAGACGGUUUUGCUGUCACUUAUAGAUGGAUCCGCGCCGCAUUAGCUAGUUGGUAAGGUAACGGCUUACCAAGGCGACGAUGCGUAGCCGACCUGAGAGGGUGAUCGGCCACACUGGAACUGAGACACGGUCCAGACUCCUACGGGAGGCAGCAGUAGGGAAUCUUCCGCAAUGGGCGAAAGCCUGACGGAGCAACGCCGCGCGAGUGAUGAAGGUCUUCGGAUCGUAAAACUCUGUUAUUAGGGAAGAACAAAUGUGUAAGUAACUAUGCACGUCUUGACGGUACCUAAUCAGAAAGCCACGGCUAACUACGUG
rnacentral:rRNA from 1 species